rnacentral:rRNA from 1 species
GAUGAACGCUGGCGGCGUGCCUAAUACAUGCAAGUCGAGCGAACGGACGAGAAGCUUGCUUCUCUGAUGUUAGCGGCGGACGGGUGAGUAACACGUGGAUAACCUACCUAUAAGACUGGGAUAACUUCGGGAAACCGGAGCUAAUACCGGAUAAUAUUUUGAACCGCAUGGUUCAAAAGUGAAAGACGGUCUUGCUGUCACUUAUAGAUGGAUCCGCGCUGCAUUAGCUAGUUGGUAAGGUAACGGCUUACCAAGGCAACGAUGCAUAGCCGACCUGAGAGGGUGAUCGGCCACACUGGAACUGAGACACGGUCCAGACUCCUACGGGAGGCAGCAGUAGGGAAUCUUCCGCAAUGGGCGAAAGCAUGACGGAGCAACGCCGCGUGAGUGAUGAAGGUCUUCGGGUCGUAAAACUCUGUUAUUAGGGAAGAACAUAUGUGUAAGUAACUGUGCACAUCUUGACGGUACCUAAUCAGAAAGCCACGGCUAACUACGUG